rnacentral:rRNA from 1 species
CCUACGGGUGGCAGCAGUGGGGAAUAUUGGGCAAUGGGCGCAAGCCUGACCCAGCAACGCCGCGUGAAGGAAGAAGGCCCUCGGGUUGUAAACUUCUUUUAUCAAGGACGAAACAAAUGACGGUACUUGAUGAAUAAGCCACGGCUAACUACGUGCCAGCAGCCGCGGUAAUACGUAGGUGGCAAGCGUUAUCCGGAUUUACUGGGUGUAAAGGGCGUGUAGGCGGGACUGCAAGUCAGAUGUGAAAACCAUGGGCUCAACCCAUGGCCUGCAUUUGAAACUGUAGUUCUUGAGUGUUGGAGAGGCAGGCGGAAUUCCGUGUGUAGCGGUGAAAUGCGUAGAUAUCACGCAGAACCCCGAUUGCGAAGGCAGCAUACCGGUGCACAACUGACGCUCAGGCACGAAAGCGUGGGUAUCGAACAGGAUUAGAUACCCGAGUAGUC